rnacentral:rRNA from 1 species
CGAGGCAAACCGGGGAAACUGAAACAUCUCAGUACCCCGAGGAAAAGAAAUCAACCGAGAUUCCCCCAGUAGCGGCGAGCGAACAGGGAGCAGCCCAGAGUCAACAUCAAUAUUUACCGCAGGAGAAAGAUCUGGAAAGGCCGGCAAUAAAGGGUGAUAGCCCCGUAUCUGAAGCGGUAAGUGUUGUGAACUCGAAGAGUAAGGCGGGACACGUGUUAUCCUGUCUGAAUAUGGGGGGACCAUCCUCCAAGGCUAAAUACUCCUGACUGACCGAUAGUGAACCAGUACCGUGAGGGAAAGGCGAAAAGAACCCCGGCGAGGGGAGUGAAAUAGAACCUGAAACCGUGUACGUACAAGCAGUAGGAGCACCCGAAAAGGUGUGACUGCGUACCUUUUGUAUAAUGGGUCAGCGACUUAUAUUCUGUAGCAAGGUUAACCGCAUAAGGGAGCCGUAGGGAAACCGAGUCUUAACUGGGCGUUAAGUUGCAGGGUAUAGACCCGAAACCCGGUGAUCUAGCCAUGGGCAGGUUGAAG